UCCUACGGGAGGCAGCAGUGGGGAAUUUUGCACAAUGGCGAAAGCCUGACGCAGCGACGCAGCGUGAGGGACGAAGGCCUUCGGGUUGUAAACCUCUUUCAGCGGGGACGAAGCGAAAGUGACGGUACCCGCAGAAGAAGCACCGGCUAACUACGUGCCAGCAGCCGCGGUAAUACGUAGGGUGCAAGCAUUGUCCGGAUUUAUUGGGCGUAAAGAGCUCGUAGGCGGCUUGUCACGUCGGGUGUGAAAACUCGGGGCUCAACUCCGAGCCUGCACUCGAUACGGGCUAGCUAGAGUGUUGCAGGGGAGACUGGAAUUCCUGGUGUAGCGGUGAAAUGCGCAGAUAUCAGGAGGAACACCGGUGGCGAAGGCGGGUCUCUGGGCAACUACUGACGCUGAGGAGCGAAAGCGUGGGGAGCGAACAGGAUUAGAUACCCUGGUAGUCCACGCCGUAAACGUUGGGCGCUAGGUGUGGGGAACCUUCCACGUUCUCCGUGCCGUAGCUAACGCAUUAAGCGCCCCGCCUGGGGAGUACGGCCGCAAGGCUAAAACUCAAAGGAAUUGACGG
rnacentral:rRNA from 1 species